CCUACGGGAGGCUGCAGUGGGGAAUAUUGGACAAUGGGCGAAAGCCUGAUCCAGCCAUGCCGCGUGUGUGAAGAAGGCCUUCGGGUUGUAAAGCACUUUCAGUGGGGAAGAAAGUCUUGGGGCUAAUACCCUCGAGGAAGGACAUCACCCACAGAAGAAGCACCGGCUAACUCCGUGCCAGCAGCCGCGGUAAUACGGAGGGUGCGAGCGUUAAUCGGAAUUACUGGGCGUAAAGCGCGCGUAGGCGGUCUGAUAAGCCGGUUGUGAAAGCCCCGGGCUCAACCUGGGAACGGCAUCCGGAACUGUCAGGCUAGAGUGCAGGAGAGGAAGGUAGAAUUCCCGGUGUAGCGGUGAAAUGCGUAGAGAUCGGGAGGAAUACCAGUGGCGAAGGCGGCCUUCUGGACUGACACUGACGCUGAGGUGCGAAAGCGUGGGUAGCAAACAGGAUUAGAUACCCCAGUAGUC
rnacentral:rRNA from 1 species